ACGAACGCUGGCGGCGUGCUUAACACCUGCAAGUCGCACGGAAAGGCCCUGCUUUUGUGGGGUGCUCGAGUGGCGAACGGGUGAGUAACACGUGAGUAACCUGCCCUUGACUUUGGGAUAACCUCAGGAAACUGGGGCUAAUACCGGAUAGGAGCUCCUGCUGCAUGGUGGGGGUUGGAAAGUUUCGGCGGUUGGGGAUGGACUCGCGGCUUAUCAGCUUGUUGGUGGGGUAGUGGCUUACCAAGGCUUUGACGGGUAGCCGGCCUGAGAGGGUGACCGGCCACAUUGGGACUGAGAUACGGCCCAGACUCCUACGGGAGGCAGCAGUGGGGAAUAUUGCACAAUGGGCGGAAGCCUGAUGCAGCAACGCCGCGUGCGGGAUGACGGCCUUCGGGUUGUAAACCGCUUUCGCCUGUGACGAAGCGUGAGUGACGGUAAUGGGUAAAGAAGCACCGGCUAACUACGUG
rnacentral:rRNA from 1 species